rnacentral:rRNA from 1 species
AACGUAGGAGACAAACGUUAUCCGGAGUUACUGGGCGUAAAGGGCGCGUAGGCGGCCUGUUAAGUCGAACGUGAAAUCCCCGGGCUCAACCCGGGAACUGCGUCCGAUACUGGCAGGCUUGAAUCCGGGAGAGGGAUGCGGAAUUCCAGGUGUAGCGGUGAAAUGCGUAGAUAUCAGGAGGAACACCGGUGGCGAAGGCGGGUCUCUGGGCCGAUACUGACGCUGAGGAGCGAAAGCGUGGGGAGCGAACAGG